CCCGGCUCUAUGGAGUGGGAAGCGCUGAGGGUGGGGCCUGGGCGCCUGCUCUCAGAACUGGUGCCGCUGAAAGCUUGCAGAGCCCAAACGCUGCGAGGAGGUCGCACCAGCAAGUGAGGAAGCAGAAGGGAUGGCUUCCUGCGCCUCCCACACAAUUUUCAACUUUUCAGGAAGUACCAUAGGAGAAGUCAAGGCUUGGAAAUUGUGGUGAAAGAAGCUACGAAUGAGAUAAAUGUGUGUUCUUUCCACCCCUAAAAACAGUGUCACCACCACUCAUCCUUGAAACCAUCAGGUACAGGCAGGAGAGGACAACAAAUUUGGAAAAAAAGAAUGUGGAAAUGGAGACACAGGCUUGACAUCGUUUGUUUUUCACUUUCCAGCAGCAGGGAAACCUGUGAGCGACGUUCACGUCUAGUGUCCAGUGCCUUGCGUGGUCCCAAUCACAAACCCCUAGCUCAGGGGCAGCGGGGCCAUGAACUAGGGAGGCCGCCGUAAUGACAGCCUGGCAGGAACCCUAUGUCCAAACCAGAGGAGCCCCCUCAGAGCAACCUCCACAGGCAGUGCUGCUGUCAAGGAAAUGCCAGAGCCGGGUGGUAGUUAACAUGGUAAGAGGAGACUUCAUUCAGGACCAUUGCAGUAGGGGAAACAGGUCCUCAGUAUAGAAGUGGGCUCAAUUCAGAAUACAGCAUAAGCAACUGGGACUCUACAGGCAAAGAGCAAGGUGAGGCUGGGUGGGUGGAAAAUUACAUCAGGGGUAAGGGGUCCUAGUUCAACCAACUCUGAGAAUAUAGAAAUAAACUCAGUUUCUCCCAUUAUAGCCUCAUAACACACUUCUGACACCAGCUGUGGGGAGGAUUUUCCCCACACCUCGAGCGAACAAUCAAUUCUGCAGUGGACCUCCACUUGGUCCUCCAACUGGGUAUUCUCCAAUUCAAUUCUGACAUUAUCCACCUGAGUGUCAGAUCCUGCAGGGUGAGGGAUCAGUCUCCAUGACUGCCCCCCGACUUUCAAAGCCAAUUGGAAGCCCCAAGUUCUUUAACCUGUCCUUCAAUGAACAGCUCUAAAUUAAGCUAUAAACUGAGGUUCCCAUGGCUCCAUCUUCAGGUUCCACUAAUUUGCUGGAGCAGCUCACAGAACUCAGGGAAACAUUAUAUUUACAUUUAUGGGUUUAUGACUGUCAGGUCUCUGAGCCCAAGCUAAGCCAUCAUAACCCCUGUGACCUGCACGUAUACAUCCAGAUGGCCUGAAACAACUAAAGAACCACAAAAGAAGUGAAAUAGCCAGUUCCUGCCUUAACUGAUGACAUUCCACCAUUAUGAUUUGUUCCUGUCCCACUCUAACUGAUCAAUUGACCUUGUGACAUUCCUUCUCCUGGACAGUGAGUCUCAGGGGCUCCCCACCAAGCACCUUGUGACCCCUGCCCCUGCCUGCAAGAGAAAAUCCCCUUUAACUGCAAUUUUCCACUACCUACCCAAAUCCUAUAAACCUGCCCCACCCCUAUCUCCCUUUGCUGACUCUCUUUUUGGACUCAGCCCACUUGCACCCAAGUGAAAAUAAACAGCCUUGUUGCUCACACAAAGCCUGC
rnacentral:lncRNA from 10 species